AGUCUGAGACGUGAUAGCUUCGUGGUAGCUGGUCAUCACAUCGUGUCCUACUAAUUUUCUUUGAUUAAUAUAUUAAAAUUACAGUUUACUAUCAAUGCGUGUGCGAAUUAUGAAGCUAUUUCAAUGUUGUUAUUAGUGGUGUAAUUUGUUUUCCGGCUGUGUGAUAGUUUUGUGUAAAAUUUUAAUGUGAUGUGUCAAGUGAUGAGAACCCAAGGCCGUAAAAGAUGUGUCAGCAACGCAUCGAUUGGAGCUUGGCUACUGAUUUACUCCUGUCAUGGACCACAGCUUUCAAGUAUGGCACUUGACAGGUAUGGACCAACAAAUUAGUGGAGGAGAUACUUGAGACGAGUUCUGCAAUGUAUUGAUGAAGCCAGAUUGCUGGAGGUUGAGAUACAUGGAUGCUGAUUUAUGAGCUUGCUAUCCUGAUGUGACUUGAGUCAGACGACCAGAGCAGAGUAGAGCCUUCGCGUGUGCUUGUUGACAACAGCUGUGAGCAGAGUGAGAGAGAGAACAAGAGGGAGCUGUAGAUCGUCACCGGAACAUUUGAGCGAGCGAAGUGAGCUCUCACCACUUGAUCAUCACUGAUGUGUCGCCGAGCGAAGUGAGAUCUCACCACCUGAGAUCAUCACUGUGUGUCGCCGAGCGAAGCGAGUUCUCACCCCCUGUUGCAGUCUUCAUUCAUCUGGAUUGUGCGGUGUGAAGGGAACACAGUCAGCAACGCAUCGAAUGGAGCUUGGUAGACUCCUGUCAUGGACCACAGUUCUCAAGUAUGGCACUUGACAGGUAUGGACCAAAUUUUUGGAGGAGAUACAUAAGACGAGUUCUGCAAUAUAUUGAAGAAGCCUAUGAUAUGUUGGUAUCCUGAUUAUAUGAUUGAUCACCUGAUUUGUUUCCUUGUCUCAUGGUCCACAUCCUUCAACACAGUGUGUUGGAAUGUUGGAAGCUGGCAGAGGAAGGAAUGUUGCUAGCCAUCUCUCUCUAAUUUCUCCCACCCAUCACCAAUGGACGGACGGACAUUGUACUCACACACAGUACUCGAGGACACAGAAGAGCGGGACAGAUGCACAAUAGGAGAAUGAUGGCCAGCUUCAUAGAGCAAGAGAGAAGAAGGAUAUCAAGAAGUAGCAGACUGGAAGAAAAAUGUUGUUGGAACUCUUGUGAAAUUUAUAUAAAGUGAC
rnacentral:lncRNA from 1 species